AAGAGAUUAGCUUAGUGGUAAAGCACCUAUCUUACACGUAGGCUACAGGUGUUCGAUUCACCUAUUUCUUA
rnacentral:tRNA from 1 species